rnacentral:rRNA from 1 species
UUACCCACUCCCGGCACGGGGAGGUAGUGACGAAAAAUAACGAUACGGGACUCAUCCGAGGCCCCGUAAUCGGAAUGAGUACACUCUAAACCCUUUAACGAGGAUCAAUUGGAGGGCAAGUCUGGUGCCAGCAGCCGCGGUAAUUCCAGCUCCAAUAGCGUAUAUUAAAGUUGUUGCGGUUAAAAAGCUCGUAGUCGAAUUUGUGUCUCGUGCCGCUGGUUCAUCGUCCGCGGUGUUAACUGGCGAGUCGCGAGACGUCCUGCCGGUGGGCUUAGCUCGCAAGGGCGGCCCAACUCAAUCCUGCCGCGGUGCUCUUCAUUGAGUGUCGAGGUGGGCCGGCACGUUUACUUUGAACAAAUUAGAGUGCUUAAAGCAGGCUAAAACUUCGCCUGAAUACUGUGUGCAUGGAAUAAUGGAAUAGGACCUCGGUUCUAUUUUGUUGGUUUUCGGAACCCCGAGGUAAUGAUUAAUAGGAACGGAUGGGGGCAUUCGUAUUGCGACGUUAGAGGUGAAAUUCUUGGAUCGUCGCAAGACGGACAGAAGCGAAAGCAUUUGCCAAAAACGCUUUCAUUGAUCAAGAACGAAAGUUAGAGGUUCGAAGGCGAUCAGAUACCGCCCUAGUUCUAACCAUAAACGAUGCCAGCUAGCGAUCCGUCGACGUUCCUCCGAUGACUCGACGGGCAGCUUCCGGGAAACCAAAGCUUUUGGGUUCCGGGGGAAGUAUGGUUGCAAAGCUGAAACUUAAAGGAAUUGACGGAAGGGCACCACCAGGAGUGGAGCCUGCGGCUUAAUUUGACUCAACACGGGAAACCUCACCAGGCCCGGACACCGGAAGGAUUGACAGAUUGAGAGCUCUUUCUUGAUUCGGUGGGUGGUGGUGCAUGGCCGUUCUUAGUUGGUGGAGCGAUUUGUCUGGUUAAUUCCGAUAACGAACGAGACUCUAGCCUGCUAACUAGGCGUAUUUUGACAUCCUAAAGGCCCGCCG